rnacentral:rRNA from 1 species
UACAGAGGUCUCAACCGUUGUUCGGAUUCAUUGGGCGUAAAGGGUGCGUAGGCGGUCGCGCAAGUCGGAUGUGAAAUCUCAGGGCUCAACCCUGAAACUGCAUUCGAUACAGCGUGGCUAGAGUACUGGAGAGGAGACUGGAAUUUACGGUGUAGCAGUGAAAUGCGUAGAUAUCGUAAGGAAGACCAGUGGCGAAGGCGAGUCUCUGGACAGUAACUGACGCUGAGGCACGAAGGUCAGGGGAGCAAACGGG